rnacentral:rRNA from 1 species
ACAUUUCUUUAAGUAUAAAUUUUAAAGUAAUUCCUGCUCAAUGAUUUUUAUUAAAUAGCUGCAGUAAUUUGACUGUACAAAGGUAGCAUAAUAAUUAGUUUCUUAAUUAGGAACUGGAAUGAUUGGAUUAAUGAAAUAUAAAUUUUAUUGGUUAUAAUAUUAUAAUUUAAUUUUUAAGUUAAAAAGCUUAAUUGUUUAUUUGGGACGAGAAGACCCUAUAGAACUUUAUUAUAUAUUAAUAUAUUUUAGUAUUUAAAUACUUUAUUAUUUUUUUUGUUGGGGUGAUAGAUAAAUUUUAACUUUAUUUUAUUAUUUCAUUUAUUUAUGAUAAUUGAUCCAUUGAUUAUGAUUAAAAGUUAAAGUUACCUUAGGGAUAACAGCGUAAUUUUAAUGGAAAGUUCUUAUUAAUAUUAAAGUUUGCGACCUCGAUGUUGAAUUAAGAUUAAUAUGGGGGGCAGUUUCUCUAAUGUUUAAGUCUGUUCGACUUUUAAAUUCUUACUUGAUCUG